CUCUCUCCACUCUCCAUUAAUGGCCGCGUUAUCUUCAAUCGGCAGCGGCUUAUCUCGCGUAUCUCCCUUCCGAUUCCACAAUCACUAUUCACCAUCUGCGGUGCCCCUUUUGUACACCGCAAAAUCUAAGCCGAAGGAUAUAAAUCGCUACCGAUUGUUCUCAAUGGCAUCCGAGGCCCCGAGCGAUAAUCCCGGUCUUCACACAACCCUCGAUGAGGCCACCAAGGGAUAUUUCUUGCAACAAACUAUGUUCCGAAUUAAGGAUCCAAAAGUGAGUCUGGACUUCUAUUCUCGUGUAUUAGGGAUGUCGUUACUCAAGAGAUUGGAUUUUCCAGAAAUGAAGUUUAGCUUGUACUUUAUGGGCUAUGAGGAUCCAGCUUCUGCUCCCACUGACCCUGCUGAGAGAACAGUUUGGACCUUUAGUAAGAGAGCUACCAUUGAAUUGACACAUAACUGGGGCACAGAAAGUGAUCCUGAUUUUAAAGGAUAUCACAAUGGCAAUUCUGAACCUCGUGGCUUUGGGCACAUUGGCAUAACUGUUGAUGACACAUACAAGGCUUGUGAGAGAUUUGAACGUCUUGGAGUGGAGUUUGUGAAAAAACCAGAUGAUGGAAAAAUGAAAGGGAUAGCAUUUAUUAAGGAUCCUGACGGCUAUUGGAUUGAAAUAUUUGAUCUUAAUACCAUUGGCAAGAUCACUAUAAAUGCUGCUUAAGAAAUCGUGAUAGAAAAUCAAGAUGUAGGCCUUUCGAGUUUGGACUUCUCAUUGUAGAGAGUGAUGCCGUUGUGAAGUGUGCAAACUAGCAGUAUGGUGCAGUUGUCUAAAGGCCAGCUUAAGUGCAAGUUCUUGGUAUUUCUGCUAGACUGCUAGUCCAUAAUAUUUUGUUCCUUACGUAUCAAUACAUUGGAUGUAAGGUGUAUGUUUUAUUUUAUUUUAUUGGAGUCGUGUGUAUGUUGGCUAACCCUAAAAACUAAAGAUAAUUUUGUCUGGUAUAUGUUUUGUUAUGAUGGAAUAUCCUAACCAAACUGGCGUUAGAUUUUAAUUUUAUGUAAUGGAAGAGAAUGGGUGACUGGAUAA